rnacentral:lncRNA from 1 species
UGGAUUUUGUGAAAUAAAAUAGGAUUUAUGUUUUGGAUGAUUUCAAGAGUAUUGUAGCAAAUCUAUGAGUGAAAUUUUGUGGAUUAAUGAUUAUAGUUGUGUUUAAUAUGUUUUUUCAAUUUUAGCUCAAUCUAAUGGUUAAAAUGAGGGUUAUUGAGGUUUAAGUGGGUCAAGGUCUUAGAAAGUAGAAUUUUAAGUUUAGUGACGAUUUUUGUAAGAUUUCUUGCAAUCUACUAAUUGGAUUGGAGUGAAAUUUGUGUGAGAGGAUACUAGACUUGUUUUUCUAUGUGUAUGAGAAUUUUGAAAUCAAUCGAAUAAUGAAAAAGAGAGAUAUUGGCUUUAGAAGAUUGGCAUUAAAGUUGGAAAAGGAAGCCGGCCAAUACCCAAGCAUGUUUUUGAGGUUAUCGUCUAGUUGGUAAUUCUGAUCCUUUUCAAAAAAUUUAUGCGUGUUUCAACUUAGUUUUUAAGAAAUUUGAAAAAUUUGAAUUAAGAUCAACGAUACAUACAUUAGUUAUUGAGGUUUAAUUCUGUUAUAAAAAUUACUAGGAUUUGGUUAGGGUUUGAUUUAGGAUUUAGGAUUUAGUUAGGGUUUGAUUUAGGGUUUAGAGUUUGGUUAGGAUUUCAUUUAGGGUUUAGGAUUUGUUUAGGAUUUAGUUUAGAAUUUGAUUAGGGUUUGGUUUAAGAUUUGUUUAGGAUUAUGGUUUAGGAUUUAGAGUUUAGUAAGGAUUUGGUUUAGAAUUUAGAGUUUAGUUAGGAUUUCAUUUAGGAUUUAGGAUUUGAUUAAAAUUUGCUUUAGAAUUUAGAAUUUGAUUUAGGAUUUGGUUAGGAUUUGGUUUAAGGUUUAAGAUUUUGUUUAGGGUUUGGAUAGAAUUUGGUUCAGUAUUUGGAUAGAAUUUGAUUUAGGGUUGGUUAGGAUUUGGUUUAGGAUUUGAUUAGGGUUUGGUUUAGGAUUUAGGAUUUUAUUAAGAUUUAUUUAGGAUUUAAGAUUUAAUUAGUUUUGGCCUAAAAUUUGAAUGAAGUCCAAUAGGAUUUUAACUAGGAUUAAAUUAAGAUUGAAUUGAGAUGUCUUUGAGAUAUAUUUGUGAUCAUUCUAAUAUUUCUUUAAGAUUUCUUAUUAUUUCUUUGAAAUUUCUUUGAGAUUUCUUUGAAUUUGAUUAAAGCUUAUUUAGUAUUAUUAUGAUCUAAUUAGAGUUUAAUUAGUAUUCUAUUAGAGUUAAGAUUUUUUUGUUGCAAUUUCUAUUCUACCUUCUAUAGCCAAGUGUCCGGAGCAUUCUCAAGCAAGACUUCAUAUAUUACGACAACGUGUUUUUUUAUUGUAAUGUUUUCAUUCUUAAUAAUUAUAAUCUUUCAUUUAAUAUUGCUGAAUUUGCUUCCUAUCUCCCAUCUAACUACACAUUUAUCUUCACUUUUGAACCAAUUUUGAUUUUAUAACCUCUUCGUGCAACAUCCAAAACUACUCAUUCGGCAGUUAAUUCCUAAUGCUCAAUACUAUUGUUCAUUUUUGGCUAUGGCACCAAAAUGUGAUUUUCAUUUUACUUAUUCUACAAAUUUCUUUCAGAAUAAAUUUGUAGAGGGAGAUUUAAACAUAAGAAAAGACUAACUAUAUGAGCUUAUAUAUUAGGGUCACAAAUUAAUCAUAUUCUAAACCACUAAAAACACCAAAGAAUACUACAAUGCUUUCUCCUACUAACAAUACUCCUUCAUCAACUGUUAACAAUAAUGUGCAAUCUUGCACUCUCAAAAGACUACUCAAAAUACACAAAUUCCAUCCAAUAUUGAAAAUAAUAGUCUUCGACUCCAAUCAAUCUCGCUUCACACAAUUUCUGUAAUCACAGACUUCUUUUGUCAAAACACACACAACUUUUAAUUAACAACAAUCAUAAUCUUCCAUCCAGAAUUAAUCUUCCACAAAAUCUGAUAACAACUUUCUAAUAUCUUCUCAUAAUAAUUCAAUUACAUAAUA